GAUUCCUAUGACAUGUCCUGGUUUUUAACGAACUGUCCUGGUGUCCUGGGACUUCGACGAAAAUGCUUGAUUUGUCCUGGUUUUUCUCUUCCAAGGCAACAAAAUCGUUGCUUGAUUCAUUCUGAUCGCACCGUAAACAAAUCGACUCAGUUCCGGCCAUGAACCAAACUCUGAUCGCUAUCGAUGUUGAGUAAACGUUAAUUACCUGAGUUUCUUCUUGGUUUAUAUCGUCUUUCAAUCCCAGCGGAUUUCCUCCACAACUUUUACAAAAUCACUUCGACGGUUCGGUGAAUCCGACUUUUCCCAUCUUACGAGCAUAUCUUGCCAUUGGCAUAUUUCCAUCUUAAGAUCCUAGAAAUUCGCGAACAUGCUUCCAGUCCAUAACAAGGCCAUUAUGCGAGACAUCAAUAACUAUCGAUUUACUUCAUUGAGAGUUGAACCGAAGUUUUUUCAAGCUGGUCAUUACUUGAUACUUGAUACUUGAUGGGCAACAAUUCGCUUCGUUGAAUCUACGCCGAGUUAAGAAUUCUCCUCCACUGGACCCGGUCGUGGGCAAUCUCUUCCAGUCACCCUGAACAUUGAGUGCUUUUAGGUCUUCUUCCACUGCAAACAGCCAUCGUGCACGCGGCCUGCCAUGAAGUCGUCGGCCUCUUCCCGGUUCUCUACUGAAUAUUAUCUUCGCCUGUCGUUCUUCCGGCAUUCGUGCCACAUGACCAGCCCACCGCAGCCUGCCGUUUUUUAUUAGCUUGACAAUAUCCACUCCUUUAUAUACUUGGUAUAACUCGUGAUUCAUGCGACGCCGCCAGAUGCGAUUUUCUUCUUUACCGCCGAGUAUUGUUCGCAGCACCUUACGUUCGAAGACACCGAACGCUCUACGAUCUACUUCCUUUAACGUCCACGUUUCAUGGCCGUACAAGGCAACCGAAACUAUCAAUGUCUUGUACAACGCGAAUUUUGUCUUCGUCUGCAAACUACGGGACUUCAGCUGGCUACGAAUUCCGUAAAAAGCCCUAUUUGCAGCGGCAAGAUGCCUUUUCACCUAGCGGGUAACAUCAUUAUCGCACGUUACUAGAGUUCCAAGGUACACAAAUUCUUCCGCUUUAUCACCACCUAACACCACUUCACCACCAACAUCACUAUUGGACCCACGUAUUCUUCAACUAUCAUGUACUUCGUCUUGCUGGUGUUGAUUGUGAGACCAAUUCUUGCUGUCUUCCUUUCAAAAGGCACGAAUGCCUCUUCCAUGGCUCGGCGGUCGAUUCCAAUGAUAUCAAUAUCGUCCGCAAAUCCUAGAAGCAUAUACUACCGAGUGACGAUGGUACCGUUCCUUUGCACGCCUGCUCUCCUACCCGACCAGGAGAAAAUAACUGGGCAAUAACCCGAGCAUACUAUUUUUUGGUAUUCAUACCAAAACUUGGUAUUAAUUGAUUAUUAUACCUCAUUGAGGUAUUAAGCUGGUAUUGAAGAAACAUUUUUCAAUACCUGCCUAAUACCUCAAUGAGGUAUAAUACUUUAUUUUAUUAUUAUUUAUGUAUUCCAGUGAUUUUUUCAAAUACCAAAUCAAUACCUUAUUGAAUACCUCCAUAGUGUGAAUUUUGUUACUGGAAGGUUGAAAAAUGUUUUAUUAUUAUUCAGGUAUUAUAAUAACUCGUUUUAUUAUCAAAUAGUUAUUUGUUGAACAUAUCUGUGUUAUUUUGUUUUGGUAUUUUACCUCUUAUGUAGAGCUCAUUAAUACCAUAUUGUGGUAAACAGUCGUUGGUAUUGAUACCUAAAUUUAGUAUUCCGCAGUUAUUUUCUUCUGCUCGGGUAGUGGCACCUUCAAGAGCAAUGUUGAACAGCAAGUCUGACAGCGCAUCACCCUGCUUUAAUCCGUCUUAGGUUACGAAGGACGUCGAAAUCUCAUCCGCUACCCGAACACUUGAUUUCGAUCCAUCCAGCGUUGCACGAAUCAGCCUAAUCAGUUUCGUCGGAAACCCAUGUUCUACCAUUAUCUGCCAUAACUCGUUUCUUUUCACUGAAUCGUACGCCGCUUUGAAAUCAAUGAACAGAUGGUGUGUCUGCAAGUUGUAUUCCCCGAAUUUAUCUAGGAUCUAUCGCAGGGUGAACAUUUGAUCCGUUGUUGAUCGGCCUUCACGAAAACCACCUUGGUAUUCACCGACGAAAGACUCCUCCAACGGCCUCAAUCUGUUGAACGGAAUACGUGACAUAAUUUUGUACGCCGAAUUUAGGAGCAAUAUUCUUCGAUAAUUGGCGCACUCCAGUCUGUGUCCCUAUUUGUAAAAGGGGCAAAUGAGGCCCUCUAGCCAGUCAGCAGGUAGUUUUUCUUCUUCCCAUACCUUCAAAAGAGUACGGUGAAGUAUUUCAAGCUAGUCAUUCUGGAACCUCAAAAGGCUAUGUGACAGCAAUACCUUGGUGAUGAAUAACAUAGUUUCAGAUCUAGACGUUUGACAGCCGGUAACUUUCUGUUUCAAACAUCCUGCAUAAUAAGGAGUAUGGAAUGUCGGGAUCAGGCAACAACACACCUACCGCGUUUGAUAAAUCGAUCCACGAUAUAACAUUCGCUAAAAUGCAGAUAUUUUUAAUCAAUAUUGUUUGUAGUUGUUUCGAUCAACGACACGACGUACCACUUAAUGAAACAUCCUGGACAAAAAGUGAUCGAGUUUUUUACCGACAGUUACCAGCACAUUGAGUGGCCCCUCGAUGUGAACUAAAAAAUAAUUUUUCCACCAACACUUCUUUGUUUAUUUUAUUUUUGGUUGCUGUAUAGCAACCAUGUUAUUUUUCUGCUUUUUCGUUCAAUUACGUUUGUUGCCUGACAAUAGCCGGAAAAUAUAUCCUGCCAAUUUACCGGGUGAUCUUUUAGCCGAUUUGUUCGAUAUACCGUUUGUGACAGAAUCUCCAUCCGUUGCUUCGGUAGUCGAUCCGUUCUCUGGAUCGUUUGACGUGCUCAUCGGGGAAAAACUCAAACAGUUGCCAAUAUUGUGCUUGUGCUUGUUUAGCUAGUUUUGACUACAUGACACCGAUUGUAUGCCAGGAGAUCAAUGUGGCCGUAAAACAGACUUGAAAAGAAGCUGCUGCCAAGCAUUUGUCUCAAUGUGGCACCCAAGAUACGCUACCAGGCGCUGACCUACGAUCGCAAUUUUAACGAUGCCAAUUGGAUGUCGUUCCUGAGAAGUCCCAAGUUUGAUAGCCUGUAUCUGACUAUUGAUACGAAUCCCAUCCUAUCAAUAAUUUCGUGUGAACAAAGUAAUCUUUCGUAGCAAGUGUACGGAAAUUCGUGAAUUCCGUUCCAAUUCAAUUCGCACAUCUCCAUUCUCGAAGUAAUGAAAGAUAGGGGUUCAAACAAUCAUCUUCAACCGAAUAUAGGAAUAUAAAUCAAGACAGUUCUAAUUGCAAUUGGCGAGCACUGCAGAAAGCUGACGACAAAUUGGUUUCUGAAAGCUGAACUAAAUUACCUUCCAGCCAUGCUGAAUUCGCGACGAAGGCGUUGAAAUUUUAUUGGAUAAUUUUUACACGGAUUUCUAUCCGAACGAAUCGAAAGCUGCUGAAGCCCUGGAGUGGUGGAGUCUCACCUAAAAAGGGUAGCUCCACUUGUCGUUCAUGAGGUUCUGUUUAAUGCAUGUGAAUAAGUUUUUGUAAUAUUACUAAUCAUUAGCUAUUGUAAUAAACAUGCAUCGAAAUGUAUUACUAAUUUGACACUUCUAACUGAAAGUAAUUGAAAACUUACAUCGUCAUUUCCUUUCUUAAACUUUUAACAACAUUCGACUCAUUUUUGGUUAUAGCCAGAGCAACUUUUUCUUAUCGUAUAUCAAUUCAUUGUCCAGGCAAAUCUCACGGAUUCUUCGCGAAGUGUUGAAGAACACAUUCUCUGCCCAUAAUCGUAAGUCAAUACCAUGUUCUAUGGGAUUCCCUAUCCACAUGGGACUGACUUGCGAUUAUAGGCAGUUCUAUUACUGCAAUAUAUUUGGUUCUAUUCGUUGCUAUAGUUCAUGUUGCUCGUACGCGAGCUUUUUAUGCCAAUGUAUAAAGACACGUAAACGAAGGAGAUGAACGUUUAAAUGCUAAAAGUUAAGCCUUGAAAACCGUUGGGAGACAAUGGCUGCAAUAAAGCUUAUUUGAUUCAAAAUCAGUUUUAAACCUAAAUCCGAAAUUUUUCACUCAAUUUUAUAACACUUGAUAGUCAACUCAUUUGCAUGUCAUUUUUGAUUGAGUUUGCUUUAUUUGGUUUUGUCACUUGGAAGGUAUUUGAUUAAUAAAUUGAAAUAUGCUAUUGCUAUAAUUUGUAGUUGUCUGAAAUACAGCAUACUGAAGUAAUUUGAGAUCUAACCAUUCUUCCCUUCAUUAAAUGCAUUGUAUUGCAUGCCUGAAAACUACAAAACUGAUGGUAAAUAACCACAUAUAUCCAAAACAAAUUGUUGCAUGAAUGGCGAAUCCGGACUAUAAUCCCAAAAGAAAUUUACAAACCGGAACGUAUGAUCUAAUUAGGAAACCAUUUUUCCACGCAGUAGAUUUCGGUGAAUUCGGAAUAUCCUGAGGUCAAAUCUCAAAAUGUAACCUACUACGUGUCAAAGAAAAUCUAUAGACCAAAAUUAAUUUAGAGACUAUUUUGGUCAUAUUAACCAGUUCCGGAAAAUUGAGGGAGCUUGCUGGAAUGAAUGCAACGGACACAAAUUUACGGAGCUUGCUAGAAUGAACGGAGGGGCACGAUAACGUCCCGGUAAAAGACGACUGUAGUCCGGUAGCUUAUGCUAUCGAUUUAUUUUGUUAUUUAUUUAUUUUCUCCUGCGUAACUAGGAUUGAGGUUACUAUAGAACGAUUUGAAAAAAUAAUAGUUUAGUCAAUGUUGCUAGUUUUAUACAUAUUCAAACCAAAUGUCAAAUUUGACUUUUCCAGUUACCUGAGUCACUGAGGGGUAGUGAUAUGAGAUACAGUUUUAAAAUUCAAGUGUCUAGUCGUGUCGUUGUUUCGAUCCUACCUUACAAGAAGGAUAUCCAGAUACCCACAUUUAUAUCAACAUCAACAAAUACCUCAUGGAAGGCACAUGAUACUGUUGAUGUUCAUGCUAUACUUCAGUGAUGCACAUCUAAUACUUAAGACUUCCCGACUGUCCUUUGCGGAGGAUCUCAAAAUAUUUCGUCUGAUUCGCUCAAUUGAAGAUUGACGUUUCCUCGAACAUCUGCAUCCAGUUUUCGUUGAUUGGUAUCGAAAUGUGUGUAAAUCUGAAGUAGCGCUCGGCCAGCUCAUACUCUCAAAAGAAAGACUCGGUUGGUUUCAACUAUCUGCAGAAAUUGACACUUUUUCACUACCGAAAAUCUAGAAAAAAAAAACUGCCAGGUGAGGGAUUCCAUGAGAAACCGGCCGACCGCAAAAUAUGACCAUCGUCGAUUCGAACGAAACUUUGCAGCUGUGUUCGCUGUAUGAAUCACCAUGAUAUUCUCUGGCAAUUGGAAUAUUUUGAUACAAGAGUAAUUUUUCAAAAGGGCGUAAACGUUUCUACGUGCAUGAAUUCAUUUUUUUUGUGCGAUUACUGUAUUUUAUACAGCAAAACUGUCUGAGAACAAGUU